rnacentral:lncRNA from 1 species
GUUCAAGGUUCUCCCUUGAAUUCUAUGGCUACAGAAGGCCCUCAAGUGGCUCUUUUGAAAAAUGAUGAAUUUAUAUGGCUAGUAAGCCACACAGCCAACUUGUUCCCUCAGGAGAAGGAGCUGUCACUACUUCAAAUUAGGAGCAUAAGCCCUAAAACUAAUAUGCUUGAUAUUGGCAAUAACAAUUAUCAUUAUUUUCUCUUUUUAAAAAGCUAAGAAACAAUCAAAUUUGCAAACAUUCUUUCAUAACCUAACUAUCUUAAAAUGGCUUCCCUGUGCACCUUCGGAUGUCAUUCUUAUAUAUGGGCACCUCUGCAUUCCUAAAAAACCUUCCAUUUUGUCUGUUACAAUUGGUUUUCUCUGUUCCCAUAUUUUGAAACUCUUCCAAGAAUAGGCAAGGCUGAUGAGCAAAGCACACUACUUGGCCAGCAGCUGAUGCCGCACACCAGCCAGUGUUCACAGUAGUCCUCCAGCCCAGGGAUGCUGCUCCACUGAGUUCAGCAGGUUCCUCAGAAGGAUACAUGCAGGGCUAGCAAAGCAACAAGGUGCCUGCCAGGAUUAUGUUCCUGAGGCUCAUGGGCAGGAGUUCUGAAGAGUGCUGCCUGCUUCCCAGUAUGGUAUGACCAGAGCCAGAGAGACUAUAAAGGUGACUGCAAUGUCCCAGUGGCUGUAGAUAAAUGGCUGGACUGUAGUUUAUUCUCUGUAGCCCCUUCCCAAGUGGCUUUGAGUGAUCUGUCAGGGAAAGGAACAGAUAAGCUAGAUUGCUUCUUAGAGGAUUUGGCUUGUAUUGUGUAUCACUUAGAAGAUAGGUUUAAUUGUGCACUAAAGUAGGAUUCAAGAAGGAAGUCAUCCACCAGUCCUCCUCAGCCAUGAUCAGUUAACUUGCUGCCAAUAUUGUUUUGUCCACAUUCCUACAGCAUGCUUGCCACGUUCUUGUUGAUGGUUUAUUCCUGUAAUCCUUACAGUCCUGUUACCCACUUCCUUUGGGUCCAAAUAAGACAACUCCUACCACAGAGGGACCAGGCCUGGAUCUAGCCCAGACAGCUGGCCAUUGUAGUGUUUUCUCUUGCAAAUGUCUCAUCCCCACCAAGGUCCUUUAGGGAGCUCCUGAAUAAUUUGCAUCUAGCAUUUUCCAGCUAUUCCUGCAGGCCCUAGGCAUCUCAUAAAGAGCCUUUUCUGGCUUGUUAUCACAUGUGGGAGGAUGGGGGAUGGCCUGAUUUACCCAGGUCAUACUUGGUUUGUAUGCAGGGAUAGGUAGCUAUGCCCUUUGGCAGAAAAUAUCCCCAGGUCCCCUUCUUUUACCCCAGAGCCUUAGCAGUCAGACCACCCAGCCUCUUGCCAGAGGUUAGCCUAGAAGAACAGGUAGCUGUUUGAGGUCACCCUUCCCAUAGCAUUAUCAGGGUCAUCUCCUUAGUCCAGAGCAUGGAGAAAGAGAAUAAUAGUUCUGCUUUCCUUUAUCUUCUGCAUGUCUCCUUCUGAAUAGAUUCAAACCACAAGAGCUCUUUCCCCCAUUCCCCAGAGGUCAUGUGGAACCUCACAGUUCCAUAGCCCUUAUAGCUAUCCUUCCAUCUGCUCAGGGGAGGGUGCCCAAUCUCCAGCCGAGUGUAGGUCUUAUGGUACAUGCAAGCAUCUGGCCUGGUUUUCCAGGAUGUAUGGUGUUCAAGGCCACUGAGACAGACCAGCAAGAUGAGAGCUGGGGUCUUGACCUAACUUCUGCAUGAACCUUGGUGCUUCCACCUGCCACUCACCAGAAAGGGACCACAGGAAACAGUCUGGAGAAUAGAAACUGGUUAGGUUGCCCCAAGUCUUGGAUGAGCCUUCUUUCCAUGGAGCCUCCCAAAGGGCAAGCCCUCUGCUAUUGUGUACUGUAAACCCAUGCUCCAGGAGCUGAGGUUUGCUGAGCUUGGGGAAAGUAGCUGAGGAGAAAGGGCCCCCUUCUCACCUUUUGUUCACCUUUGACCUGGCUGAAUUUAGCUGCUCUUAACCUCUAGUUUGCUAAAGUCCUUAUUGCCUUAAUGACCACCUACCAAACAGUCAGAACCAGGCGAGAAGUCCCUCCCAUGACAUAUCUUGGAAGCCUGCCUGUCCCCUUCACGCUGCUGUGCCUGAAAGGAGACCACACUCCCUCUCCAAAAUCCAGGGCCAUCUCUCACUGAUAGAGCAGUGUUCCCAGGCUAAGGACAAACCCAGGACUGCUCAGGCUGAGAGAUGCCCAGUGCCCAUGGUGGCCACUGUUGACCCUGCUCCAUUCUUUGGUCUCCACUGCUUCAGAUCUGGACUCCUCCCUAUCCUCCACCUCCACCUCCCGCCCAGAGACCCUUUGCCCCAUCAUGCUCAGUGCUGUUCCUGAAGACCAUGUAGACUUUUCUGUUCUCUGGAACAUUCUACUCACCUUCGGCUGUAGCGCAUCCAUUCCUUCAGCCUCUCCACCAAGCUCUUUAAGUGAAAGGCAGUGGCUGUCUUCCCUUGGACAAUAAUGAAUGUAUCUACUGUAAGUGCAGACCAUGUAGAGAAGUGGCUGGGUUCAGAAAAAAAAAAAAAGAGGGUUUUUGUAAAGCCUGUUUAUUUUUUUAAGUCAGUUUUGAGCAUUUCUAUUUUAUCACCCUUCACGUGGUUUUGGGGAACCCAAAUUGUAUCAAGGUCUCAUGCCAAAACAAGCCAACCGUUGCUUUCUUCUCCUUUCUCCUCCAUGCACCAUGAUUUCAAAGAUUGUUUUGGUGUCGUUUUAAAUGUUUUCUUGUGACAUGUACUGACGAUAAAAGUCAUCUUG